GAUGAACGCUGGCGGCGUGCUUAACACAUGCAAGUCGAACGGAAAGGCCGAAGCUUGCUUCGGUACUCGAGUGGCGAACGGGUGAGUAACACGUGGGUGAUCUGCCCUGUACUUCGGGAUAAGCUUGGGAAACUGGGUCUAAUGCCGGAUAUGACGAUCUCUUGGAUGGGGUUGUGGAAAGCUUUUGCGGUAUGGGAUGAGCUCGCGGCCUAUCAGCUUGUUGGUGGGGUAAUGGCCUACCAAGGCGUCGACGGGUAGCCGGCCUGAGAGGGUGUACGGCCACAUUGGGACUGAGAUACGGCCCAGACUCCUACGGGAGGCAGUAGUGGGGAAUAUUGCACAAUGGGCGCAAGCCUGAUGCAGCGACGCCGCGUGGGGGAUGACGGCCUUCGGGUUGUAAACUCCUUUCGCAAUCGACGAAGCCUUUUGGUGACGGUAGGUUGAGAAGAAGCACCGGCUAACUACGUG
rnacentral:rRNA from 1 species